rnacentral:lncRNA from 1 species
CCUCCCUUCCUUCUCUCCUUAAUAAAAUCUAAAAAGGCCCUCACAGACAUGACCAGAGGUUUGUCUCCUAGGUAAUUCUAGAGACUGCCAAGUUGACAGUGUUAACCCUCAGAUCCACAUUCAUAGUAGUUAACAUGGAGUUGUCCUCACUGGCUUUGUAUGAAAAAAAAAAAUGACCCAAAAUGGUGCUUCUUUGGUUCAGAAAGAGCUCAUUCUUUUUGGUACUUCAAGUACAGGGCAUGCAGUGGAGGCUUUAAAAAUCUGUUUUGUAUACAAAUAGAGUGUUAGGAUGAUCAGCGCAUGAGACAAUGUGCUUAAGAGACUGCAAUGGAGAAUAAAUAUUGCUAGGAAUACAUACGUCCUAAUUGGUCACCAGAGGAUUGAGAAGAAGUUUGUGACACAGUUUCUCAGAGGAGUUUCCUCCUAUUUGGUGGCUUACUGUCUAUCUUCACAGGCAACAGGAGAGGGCCUGAAAUGUAAGCAGAUGUUCUUUCUUCAAAGUUGCUACCAUGACAUUACUGGCCUUUCCCUGUAGUCUUUUUCUCAUUCAUUGCCUAGAGUAUAUUCUUUGUAUAUAUUCUUAAGCGACACCCCUCAGAUGUGCCACGUGUUGUUUACUCUUCAUUGGUGUGGUGCUCUCAGCCCAGAGGACCCCUUGUAGGACAACGGAGAAUUUGCCUGUUUGCCUGGUGUCUAUCUACGAUCCCUAAGGGCUGCUGCUACUGAACAUCUUGAGUCGGUUCACCUUGAUUGUUACAAUGAAACCACCGAGUGAUUCUCCAAGGUCAUUGAUUGCUGAGGAUAAAACGUAAUUCUCCAACUUCCGGGUUUUCAGAUUUUUCUGAGGACUUUGAUUCCAGAUGGCCGAAAGAAGCAAUUCCUUCUGGCCCUACCAGGGUAGAAUUAUAUAAGUUAACAAAGAGAGUAUACUGCUGUGAUGGUUUGUAUAUCCUUGGACCAGGGAGUGGCACCAUCUGAAGGUGUGGCCUUGUUGGAAUGGGUGUGUCACUGUGGGUGUGGGUAUAAGAUCCUCACCCUAGAUGCCUGGAAGUCAGUCUUCCACUAGCAGUCUUUGGAUGAAUACAUAGAACUCUCAGCUCCUCCUGCACCAUGCCUGCCUGGAUGCUGCCAUGCUCCCUCCUUGAUGAUAAUGGACUGAACCUCUGAACCUGUAAGCCAG